rnacentral:rRNA from 1 species
GACGAGCGCUGGCGGCGUGCUUAACACAUGCAAGUCGAACGGAAAGGCCUCUUUCGGGGGGUACUCGAGUGGCGAACGGGUGAGUAACACGUGAGUAACCUGCCCUUGACUUUGGGAUAACUUCAGGAAACUGGGGCUAAUACCGGAUAGGAGCUCCUGCUGCAUGGUGGGGGUUGGAAAGUUUCGGCGGUUGGGGAUGGACUCGCGGCUUAUCAGCUUGUUGGUGGGGUAGUGGCUUACCAAGGCUUUGACGGGUAGCCGGCCUGAGAGGGUGACCGGCCACAUUGGGACUGAGAUACGGCCCAGACUCCGACGGGAGGCAGCAGUGGGGAAUAUUGCACAAUGGGUGGAAGCCUGAUGCAGCAACGCCGUGUGCGGGAUGACGGCCUUCGGGUUGUAAACCGCUUUCGCUCAUGACGAAGCUUUGUGUGACGGUAGUGGGUAAAGAAGCACCGGCUAACUACGUG